AUUGAACGCUGGCGGCAUGCUUUACACAUGCAAGUCGAACGGCAGCACGGGCUUCGGCCUGGUGGCGAGUGGCGAACGGGUGAGUAAUGCAUCGGAACGUGCCCAUUUGUGGGGGAUAACUACGCGAAAGCGUGGCUAAUACCGCAUACGCCCUGAGGGGGAAAGCGGGGGGAUUCUUCGGAACCUCGCGCAAUUGGAGCGGCCGAUGUCAGAUUAGCUUGUUGGUGAGGUAAAGGCUCACCAAGGCGACGAUCUGUAGCGGGGUCUGAGAGGAUGAUCCGCCACACUGGGACUGAGACACGGCCCAGACUCCUACGGGAGGCAGCAGUGGGGAAUUUUGGAUAAUGGGGGCAACCCUGAUCCAGCCAUGCCGCGUGAGUGAAGAAGGCCUCGGUU
rnacentral:rRNA from 1 species